GAUGAAUGCUGGCGGCGUGCCUAAUACAUGCAAGUCGAGCGAACAGAUAAGGAGCUUGCUCCUUUGACGUUAGCGGCGGACGGGUGAGUAACACGUGGGUAACCUACCUAUAAGACUGGGAUAACUUCGGGAAACCGGAUCUAAUACCGGAUAACAUUUGGAACCGCAUGGUUCUAAAGUGAAUGAUGGUUUUGCUAUCACUUAUAGAUGGACCCGCGCCGUAUUAGCUAGUUGGUAAGGUAACGGCUUACCAAGGCUACGAUACGUAGCCGACCUGAGAGGGUGAUCGGCCACACUGGAACUGAGACACGGUCCAGACUCCUACGGGAGGCAGCAGUAGGGAAUCUUCCGCAAUGGGCGAAAGCAUGACGGAGCAACGCCGCGUGAGUGAUGAAGGGUUUCGGAUCGUAAAACUCUGUUAUUAGGGAAGAACAAAUGUGUAAGUAACUGUGCACGUAUUGACGGUACCUAAUAAGAAAGCAACGGCUAACUACGUG
rnacentral:rRNA from 1 species